AGUGAACGCUGGCGGCAGGCCUAACACAUGCAAGUCGAGCGGAUGAAGGGAGCUUGCUCCUGGAUUAAGCGGCGGACGGGCGAGUAAUGCCUAGGAAUCUGCCUGGUAGUGGGGGAUAACGUCCGGAAACGGGCGCUAAUACCGCAUACGUCCUGAGGGAGAACGUGGGGGAUCUUCGGACCUCACGCUAUCAGAUGAGCCUAUGUCGGAUUAGCUAGUUGGUGGGGUAAAGGCCUACCAAGGCGACGAUCCGUAACUGGUCUGAGAGGAUGAUCAGUCACACUGGAACUGAGACACGGUCCAGACUCCUACGGGAGGCAGCAGUGGGGAAUAUUGGACAAUGGGCGAAAGCCUGAUCCAGCCAUGCCGCGUGGGUGAAGAAGGUCUUCGGAUUGUAAAGCCCUUUAAGUUGGGAGGAAGGGCAGUAAGUUAAUACCUUGCUGUUUUGACGGUACCAAAAGAAUAAGCACCGGCUAACUUCGUG
rnacentral:rRNA from 1 species